GGGAAUGUGGCUUAGUGGUAGAGUGCUUGCCUAGCAUGCAGGAAGCUUUGGUUUGAUUCCUCAGUGCCA
rnacentral:tRNA from 1 species